GACCGUUACGGUGGCUUAGUAGUAGAGCGGCCUACUCGGAUGCGGGAUGUCGCGGGUUAGAUCCCCGGCCGAGUCA